CAGUCGCCGCGGUAAUACGGAGGGGGCUAGCGUUGUUUGGAAUUACUGGGCGUAAAGCGCACGUAGGCGGCUUGGUAAGUUAGAGGUGAAAGCCUGGAGCUCAACUCCAGAAUUGCCUUUAAGACUGCCGAGCUAGCAGGUGAGAGAGGUAAGUGGAAUUCCGAGUGUAGAGGUGAAAUUCGUAGAUAUUCGGAAGAACACCAGUGGCGAAGGCGGCUUACUGGCUCAUACUGGACGCUGAGGUGCGAAAGCGUGGGGAGCAAACAGGAUUAGAUACCCGCGUAGUCCCUGUCUCUUAUAC
rnacentral:rRNA from 1 species